CGGUCGCCCACACCAACACCCAGGGCAGGGGUGGGGGAACCACUUCCGGCGCGCGACGGCCUACGGGGGCCUGUCCUCGCGCGCCUCGGGGUGAAGCCGCGACAACGCGGCCGGGCACCGAUCGCCCGAACCCGACAGCUCACCUCGCCGGCGGUGAUCGGGAGAUCAU
rnacentral:sRNA from 1 species